GGGCCCGCACAAGCGGUGGAGCAUGUGGUUUAAUUCGAUGAUACGCGAGGAACCUUACCAGGGCUUAAAUGUAGAACGACCGAUUUGGAAACAAGUCUUCUCUUUGAGCGGUCUACAAGGUGCUGCAUGGUUGUCGUCAGCUCGUGCCGUGAGGUGUCGGGUUAAGUCCCUUAACGAGCGCAACCCCUAUCUCUAGUUGCCAGCGGAUAAUGCCGGGGACUCUAGAGAAACUGCCCGUGCAAACGGUGAGGAAGGUGGGGAUGACGUCAAAUCAUCACGGCCCUUACGUCCUGGGCUACACACGUGCUACAAUGGUCGGUACAGAGGGCAGCUACCACGUGAGUGGAUGCAAAUCUCGAAAGCCGAUCUCAGUUCGGAUUGAAGUCUGCAACUCGACUCCUUGAAGUUGGAGUCGCUAG
rnacentral:rRNA from 1 species